rnacentral:rRNA from 1 species
UACGUAGGUGGCGAGCGUUGUCCGGAUUUAUUGGGCGUAAAGCGCGCGCAGGUGGUGCGGUAAGUCUGCCGUGAAAUCUCCCGGCUCAACUGGGAGGGGGCGGUGGAGACUGCCGGACUAGAGGGACUCAGAGGCCGGUGGAAUUCCCGGUGUAGUGGUGAAAUGCGUAGAGAUCGGGAGGAACACCAGUGGCGAAGGCGGCCGGCUGGGGGUGCCCUGACGCUGAGGCGCGAAAGCGUGGGGAGCAAACAGG